CAGGGAGACAACAAAAUGUUAAAUACUAAUUUUGUCACCUUAGGUCGAUCGGUAUCUCAUGUUCUUAAUUAUUUUAAGAAUUUCAUUUCCUAAGUUUUUUCUAGGUCACACCCAUUACUUUCCCUGGGCCAUUAGCUCAGGUGGUUAGAGCGCACCCCUGAUAAGGGUGAGGUCCCUGGUUCAAGUCCAGGAUGGCCCAUAUCUCUAUGUUGGGGGUAUAGCUCAGUUGGUAGAGCGCCUGCUUUGCAAGCAGGAUGUCAGCGGUUCGAGUCCGCUUACCUCCACUGAUUACCACCUCUUCCAUAAAUUUAAAGAAGGGAAUAGUUAUGAGUAUUGAUUUAGUUCUGAACGAAUCUAGCUUCCUAAUAAUUAAAUUAAGAUGCUGGACUCAUUGAAUUUUUUUUCAUUGUUUUCAGAGAACCUUGACAACUGCAUAGAUUAUUUUUAAAGACAAUAAGCAUCUUUAUUGAUGCAGAUUGAUUAUUUGUGCUAAUGCAUUAAUAACAAUUCUAUUGAGCUGAUGCUUCAAUUUUUUGAAGUUAUU
rnacentral:tRNA from 1 species